GUGCCAGCAGCCGCGGUAAUACGGAGGGUGCGAGCGUUGUUCGGAAUUACUGGGCGUAAAGCGCGUGUAGGCGGCUUUGCAAGCCAGACGUGAAAGCCCUCGGCUUAACCGGGGAAGUGCGUCUGGAACUGCUUGGCUUGAGUACGGGAGAGGGAGGCGGAAUUCCCAGUGUAGAGGUGAAAUUCGUAGAUAUUGGGAGGAACACCGGUGGCGAAAGCGGCCUCCUGGACCGAUACUGACGCUGAGACGCGAAAGCGUGGGGAGCAAACAGGAUUAGAUACCCGAGUAGUCC
rnacentral:rRNA from 1 species